rnacentral:rRNA from 1 species
CCUACGGGAGGCAGCAGUGGGGAAUAUUGGGCAAUGGGCGAAAGCCUGACCCAGCAACGCCGCGUGAAGGAAGAAGGCUUUCGGGUUGUAAACUUCUUUUGACAGGGAAGAGCAGAAGACGGUACCUGUCGAAUAAGCCACGGCUAACUACGUGCCAGCAGCCGCGGUAAUACGUAGGUGGCAAGCGUUAUCCGGAUUUACUGGGUGUAAAGGGCGUGUAGGCGGGAGUGCAAGUCAGAUGUGAAAACGAUGGGCUAAACCCAUAGCCUGCAUUUGAAACUGUACUUCUUGAGUGCUGGAGAGGCAAUCGGAAUGCCGGGUGUAGCGGUGAAAUGCGUAGAGAUACGGAGGAACACCAGUGGCGAAGGCGGAUUGCUGGACAGUAACUGACGCUGAGGCGCGAAAGCGUGGGGAGCAAACAGGAUUAGAUACCCGAGUAGUC